rnacentral:tRNA from 1 species
GCCAGGAUAGCUCAGUGGCAGAGCAACGCACUCGUAACGCGUGGGUCGCGGGUUCAAAUCCCGCUCCUGGCUCAA